rnacentral:rRNA from 1 species
GACGUAGGGCGCGAGCGUUGUCCGGAUUUAUUGGGCGUAAAGAGCUCGUAGGCGGCUCAUUGCGUCAACCGUGAAAACCAGCAGCUCAACUGUUGGCUUGCGGUUGAUACGGGUGGGCUGGAGUUCGGUAGGGGAGACUGGAAUUCCUGGUGUAGCGGUGAAAUGCGCAGAUAUCAGGAGGAACACCGGUGGCGAAGGCACUUUACUGGGCUAUUACUAACACUCAGAGACGAAAGCUAGGGUAGCAAAUGGG